rnacentral:rRNA from 1 species
GCGAACGGGUGAGUAACACGUGAGCAACCUGCCCUAGGCUUUGGGAUAACCCCGGGAAACCGGGGCUAAUACCGAAUAUUACCACCGGGCGCAUGUUUGGUGGUGGAAAGUUUUUCGGCCUGGGAUGGGCUCGCGGCCUAUCAGCUUGUUGGUGGGGUGAUGGCCUACCAAGGCGACGACGGGUAGCCGGCCUGAGAGGGCGACCGGCCACACUGGGACUGAGACACGGCCCAGACUCCUACGGGAGGCAGCAGUGGGGAAUAUUGCACAAUGGGCGGAAGCCUGAUGCAGCGACGCCGCGUGAGGGAUGACGGCCUUCGGGUUGUAAACCUCUUUCAGCAGGGACGAAGCGAAAGUGACGGUACCUGCAGAAGAAGCGCCGGCCAACUACGUGCCAGCAGCCGCGGUAAGACGUAGGGCGCGAGCGUUGUCCGGAUUUAUUGGGCGUAAAGAGCUCGUAGGCGGCUUGUCGCGUCGACUGUGAAAACCCGCGGCUCAAC